rnacentral:lncRNA from 1 species
CAAAUUACAAAAUCGUGAUUUUGUUCUAGGGUUUUUUCAGACCAGCCUCCAGAUACGUCGAUUUCAGCUAUACCAGCCUUCAGGGUCGAUUUCAGCAAUCACCAUUCGUUCCAAGUCUCCGACCGACCAACCAGAUUAAUUACUCGAUUUUCGGCAAGGUGAAUAUCGAUUGUUAAAUGUUAAUCGCUCAUUUAUAUUUUUUUCGUUUUCAGCAACUUCGCAUUUCAUUUUUCAGCAACUUUGAAUUCACAUUUCACAUUUUGAACCCUUCGAUUUCAGCAACUUCUUUUUCAACAUCUCUUCCUCCUCGACAGCUUAAUUAUUAUUUAUCAACUUUAGAGAUUUGAUCAACUUCCCAAAGUAAGUAUUUAUUAUUAUUUAUUAGAAAUAUAUCUUUAAAUUGAUAAUUAGAUAUUCUGAUGAUUUAGAGAUUAAGAUUCUUCGUUUUUUUAAUUAAGAUUUGACUUUUGUACUUUGUCUUCGAUUGUUUUUAUUGUAAUUUUGACUAUUGAUUAUGAUUUUCUUGAUAUUUCAAUUGAAUUUUAGGUUGAAUUGAAAAAAAAUAAAAAAUAUCCGUCCCAUUUAUUACUUCCAAAAAUUUCGCUUACAACAGGGUUUAAGGGUUUAGGGAAAUUUCGCAAAAUCUUGACUCUGCCCCUGUUUGGAAUGAAGGAGAAAAGAAGGGUCGAUGUCUCUUGCACCAUUUCCACAU